rnacentral:rRNA from 1 species
ACGAAGCUUGACGGAUGAUUUCUUCGGAAUGAAACCUGAUAUGACUUAGUGGCGGACGGGUGAGUAACACGUGAGCAACCUGCCUUUCAGAGGGGGAUAACGGCUGGAAACGGUCGCUAAUACCGCAUGAUGUGUUCGGAUGGCAUCAUCUGAACAUCAAAGAUUUAUCGCUGAAAGAUGGGCUCGCGUCUGAUUAGAUAGUUGGUGGGGUAACGGCCUACCAAGUCUACGAUCAGUAGCCGGACUGAGAGGUUGAACGGCCACAUUGGGACUGAGAUACGGCCCAGACUCCUACGGGAGGCAGCAGUGGGGAAUAUUGCACAAUGGGGGAAACCCUGAUGCAGCAACGCCGCGUGAAGGAUGACGGUUUUCGGAUUGUAAACUUCUUUUCUUAGUGACGAAGACAGUGACGGUAGCUAAGGAAUAAGCAUCGGCUAACUACGUGCCAGCAGCCGCGGUAAUACGUAGGAUGCAAGCGUUAUCCGGAUUUACUGGGUGUAAAGGGAGCGCAGGCGGGACUGCAAGUUGGAUGUGAAAUACCGUGGCUUAACCACGGAACUGCAUCCAAAACUGUAGUUCUUGAGUGAAGUAGAGGCAAGCGGAAUUCCGAGUGUAGCGGUGAAAUGCGUAGAUAUUCGGAGGAACACCAGUGGCGAAGGCGGCUUGCUGGGCUUUAACUGACGCUGAGGCUCGAAAGUGUGGGGAGCAAACAGGAUUAGAUACCCUGGUAGUCCACACUGUAAACGAUGAUAGCUAGGUGUGGGGGGUCUGACCCCUUCCGUGCCGGAGUUAACGCAAUAAGCU